CGGCUAACUCCGUGCCAGCAGCCGCGGUAAUACGGAGGGGGUUAGCGUUGUUCGGAAUUACUGGGCGUAAAGCGCACGUAGGCGGAUUUUUAAGUCAGAUGUGAAAUCCCAAGGCUCAACCUUGGAACUGCAUUUGAAACUGGGAAUCUAGAGAUCAGGAGAGGUUAGUGGAAUACCGAGUGUAGAGGUGAAAUUCGUAGAUAUUCGGUGGAA
rnacentral:rRNA from 14 species